ACACUGUACAAUGGAUUUCUUGGCUCCCGCAUCGAUGAAAAAACGCAGCAAAGCGCGAUAGGUAGUGUGAAUUGCAGAAUUCCGUGAAUCAUCGAAUUUUUGAACGCACAUUGCGCUCAAGUCUGCGGACUUGAGCAUGUCUGCCUCAGCGUCGUUUUAAAUGGC
rnacentral:rRNA from 1 species